GAUGAACGCUGGCGGCGUGCCUAAUACAUGCAAGUCGAGCGAACAGACGAGGAGCUUGCUCCUCUGACGUUAGCGGCGGACGGGUGAGUAACACGUGGAUAACCUACCUAUAAGACUGGGAUAACUUCGGGAAACCGGAGCUAAUACCGGAUAAUAUAUUGAACCGCAUGGUUCAAUAGUGAAAGACGGUUUUGCUGUCACUUAUAGAUGGAUCCGCGCCGCAUUAGCUAGUUGGUGAGGUAACGGCUUACCAAGGCAACGAUGCGUAGCCGACCUGAGAGGGUGAUCGGCCACACUGGAACUGAGACACGGUCCAGACUCCUACGGGAGGCAGCAGUAGGUAAUCUUCCGCAAUGGGCGAAAGCCUGACGGAGCAACGCCGCGUGAGUGAUGAAGGUCUUCGGAUCGUAAAACUCUGUUAUUAGGGAAGAACAAAUGUGUAAGUAACUAUGCACGUCUUGACGGUACCUAAUCAGAAAGCCACGGCUAACUACGUG
rnacentral:rRNA from 1 species